AUUGAACGCUGGCGGCAGGCCUAACACAUGCAAGUCGAGCGGAGCGGCGGACGGGUGAGUAAUGCCUAGGAAUCUGCCUGGUAGUGGGGGAUAACGUCCGGAAACGGUGGCUAAUACCGCAUACUAUCGGAUGAACCCAUAUGGGAUUAGCUAGUAGGUGGGGUAAAGGCUCACCUAGGCGACGAUCUCUAGCGGGUCUGGGAGGAUGAUCAGCCACACUGGGACUGAGACACGGCCCAGACUCCUACGGGAGGCAGCAGUGGGGAAUAUUGCACAAUGGGCGCAAGCCUGAGGCAGCCAUGCCGCGUGUAUGAAGAAGGCCUUAGGGUUGUAAACUCCUUGCGACAGGGACGCGGUACCUGUAUAAGAAGCACCGGCUAACUACGUGCCAGCAGCCGCGGUAAUAC
rnacentral:rRNA from 1 species